rnacentral:rRNA from 1 species
GAUGAACGCUAGCGGCAGGCCUAAUACAUGCAAGUCGAACGGUAACAUGAGUAGCAAUACUUGCUGACGAGUGGCGCACGGGUGCGUAACGCCUAUGCAAUCUACCUUUAACUGGAGAAUAUCCCGAAGAAAUUCGGAUUAUUACACCAUAGUAUAUUUGACUGGCAUCAUUUAAAUAUUAAAACUCCGGUGGUGAAAGAUGAGCAUGAGUGACAUUAGCUAGUUGGUGAGGUCAUGGCUCACCAAGGCUACGAUGUCUAGGGGAUCUGAGAGGAUUAACCCACACGCUGGUAAUGGGACACGGACCAGACUCCUACGGGAGGCAGCAGUAACGAAUCUGGAACAAUGGUCGAAAGACUGAUCCAGCCAUGCCGCGUGAAGGAUGACGGCCCUAUGGGUUGUAAACUUCUUUUGUAUGGGAAAAAACCCUUCUACGUGUCGAAGGCUGCAGGUACCAUAAGAAUGCGGAUCUGCUAACUCCGUGCCAGCCGCCGCGGUAA